rnacentral:rRNA from 1 species
GAUGAACGCUAGCGGCAGGCUUACUACAUGCAAGUCGCGGGGCAGCAUGAAGUAGCAAUACUUUGAUGGCGACCGGCAAACGGGUGCGGAACAAGUACACACCCUGCCUUUUAGUGGGGAAUAGCCCAGAGAACUUUGGAUUAAUACCCCGUAACAUAGCGAGGAGCCAUCUCAUUGCUAUUAUUGCUUCGGCGCCAGAAGCUGGGUGUGCGUAUGAUUCGAUAGUUGGCGAGGUAACGGCUCACCAAGUCUACGAUCAUUAGCUGAUGUGAGAGCAUGAUCAGCCACACGGGCACUGAGACACGGGCCCGACUCCUACGGGAGGCAGCAGUAAGGAAUAUUGGUCAAUGGACGAAAGUCUGAACCAGCCAUGCCGCGUGAAGGAUUAAGGUCCUCUGGAUUGUAAACUUCUUUUAUAUGGGACGAAAAAAGGUCUUUCUAGAACACUUGACGGUACCAUAUGAAUAAGCACCGGCUAACUCCGUGCCAGCCGCCGCCGUAAAAC